UACGUAGGGGGCAAGCGUUGUCCGGAUUCACUGGGCGUAAAGCGCGUGUAGGCGGCGCGUCAAGUCGGGUGUGAAAGCCCGGGGCUCAACCCCGGGAUGCCGCUCGAAACUGGCGCGCUUGAGGACGGAAGAGGGGAGUGGAAUUCCUGGUGUAGCGGUGAAAUGCGUAGAGAUCAGGAGGAACACCCGUGGCGAAGGCGGCUCCCUGGUCCGUCCCUGACGCUGAGGUGCGAAAGCGUGGGGAGCAAACAGG
rnacentral:rRNA from 1 species